GCCUGAAUCAGUGUGUGUGUUAGUGGAAGCGUCUGGAAAGGCGCGCGAUACAGGGUGACAGCCCCGUACACAAAAAUGCACAUGCUGUGAGCUCGAUGAGUAGGGCGGGACACGUGGUAUCCUGUCUGAAUAUGGGGGGACCAUCCUCCAAGGCUAAAUACUCCUGACUGACCGAUAGUGAACCAGUACCGUGAGGGAAAGGCGAAAAGAACCCCGGCGAGGGGAGUGAAAAAGAACCUGAAACCGUGUACGUACAAGCAGUGGGAGCACGCUUCGGCGUGUGACUGCGUACCUUUUGUAUAAUGGGUCAGCGACUUAUAUUCUGUAGCAAGGUUAACCGAAUAGGGGAGCCGAAGGGAAACCGAGUCUUAACUGGGCGUUAAGUUGCAGGGUAUAGACCCGAAACCCGGUGAUCUAGCCAUGGGCAGGUUGAAGGUUGGGUAACACUAACUGGAGGACCGAACCGACUAAUGUUGAAAAAUUAGCGGAUGACUUGUGGCUGGGGGUGAAAGGCCAAUCAAACCGGGAGAUAGCUGGUUCUCCCCGAAAGCUAUUUAGGUAGCGCCUCGUGAAUUCAUCUCCGGGGGUAGAGCACUGUUUCGGCAAGGGGGUCAUCCCGACUUACCAACCCGAUGCAAACUGCGAAUACCGGAGAAUGUUAUCACGGGAGACACACGGCGGGUGCUAACGUCCGUCGUGAAGAGGGAAACAACCCAGACCGCCAGCUAAGGUCCCAAAGUCAUGGUUAAGUGGGAAACGAUGUGGGAAGGCCCAGACAGCCAGGAUGUUGGCUUAGAAGCAGCCAUCAUUUAAAGAAAGCGUAAUAGCUCACUGGUCGAGUCGGCCUGCGCGGAAGAUGUAACGGGGCUAAACCAUGCACCGAAGCUGCGGCAGCGACACUGUGUGUUGUUGGGUAGGGGAGCGUUCUGUAAGCCUGUGAAGGUGUACUGUGAGGUAUGCUGGAGGUAUCAGAAGUGCGAAUGCUGACAUAAGUAACGAUAAAGCGGGUGAAAAGCCCGCUCGCCGGAAGACCAAGGGUUCCUGUCCAACGUUAAUCGGGGCAGGGUGAGUCGACCCCUAAGGCGAGGCCGAAAGGCGUAGUCGAUGGGAAACAGGUUAAUAUUCCUGUACUUGGUGUUACUGCGAAGGGGGGACGGAGAAGGCUAUGUUGGCCGGGCGACGGUUGUCCCGGUUUAAGCGUGUAGGCUGGUUUUCCAGGCAAAUCCGGAAAAUCAAGGCUGAGGCGUGAUGACGAGGCACUACGGUGCUGAAGCAACAAAUGCCCUGCUUCCAGGAAAAGCCUCUAAGCAUCAGGUAACAUCAAAUCGUACCCCAAACCGACACAGGUGGUCAGGUAGAGAAUACCAAGGCGCUUGAGAGAACUCGGGUGAAGGAACUAGGCAAAAUGGUGCCGUAACUUCGGGAGAAGGCACGCUGAUAUGUAGGUGAAGCGACUUGCUCGUGGAGCUGAAAUCAGUCGAAGAUACCAGCUGGCUGCAACUGUUUAUUAAAAACACAGCACUGUGCAAACACGAAAGUGGACGUAUACGGUGUGACGCCUGCCCGGUGCCGGAAGGUUAAUUGAUGGGGUUAGCGCAAGCGAAGCUCUUGAUCGAAGCCCCGGUAAACGGCGGCCGUAACUAUAACGGUCCUAAGGUAGCGAAAUUCCUUGUCGGGUAAGUUCCGACCUGCACGAAUGGCGUAAUGAUGGCCAGGCUGUCUCCACCCGAGACUCAGUGAAAUUGAACUCGCUGUGAAGAUGCAGUGUACCCGCGGCAAGACGGAAAGACCCCGUGAACCUUUACUAUAGCUUGACACUGAACAUUGAGCCUUGAUGUGUAGGAUAGGUGGGAGGCUUUGAAGUGUGGACGCCAGUCUGCAUGGAGCCGACCUUGAAAUACCACCCUUUAAUGUUUGAUGUUCUAACGUUGACCCGUAAUCCGGGUUGCGGACAGUGUCUGGUGGGUAGUUUGACUGGGGCGGUCUCCUCCUAAAGAGUAACGGAGGAGCACGAAGGUUGGCUAAUCCUGGUCGGACAUCAGGAGGUUAGUGCAAUGGCAUAAGCCAGCUUGACUGCGAGCGUGACGGCGCGAGCAGGUGCGAAAGCAGGUCAUAGUGAUCCGGUGGUUCUGAAUGGAAGGGCCAUCGCUCAACGGAUAAAAGGUACUCCGGGGAUAACAGGCUGAUACCGCCCAAGAGUUCAUAUCGACGGCGGUGUUUGGCACCUCGAUGUCGGCUCAUCACAUCCUGGGGCUGAAGUAGGUCCCAAGGGUAUGGCUGUUCGCCAUUUAAAGUGGUACGCGAGCUGGGUUUAGAACGUCGUGAGACAGUUCGGUCCCUAUCUGCCGUGGGCGCUGGAGAACUGAGGGGGGCUGCUCCUAGUACGAGAGGACCGGAGUGGACGCAUCACUGGUGUUCGGGUUGUCAUGCCAAUGGCACUGCCCGGUAGCUAAAUGCGGAAGAGAUAAGUGCUGAAAGCAUCUAAGCACGAAACUUGCCCCGAGAUGAGUUCUCCCUGACUCCUUGA
rnacentral:rRNA from 1 species